rnacentral:tRNA from 1 species
GCCCCGAUGGUGGAAUUGGUAUACACACAUGCUUGAGGUGCAUGGCUUUAAUCGGCAUAGGGGUUCGAGUCCCCUUUGGGGCACAA